CUAUGAUUGAUGUCCUCAUAAGAAGAGGAAGAGACACACAGAUCCCUCUCUCUCUUUGUACUAAUGCAGGGGAAAGCCGUGUGAGGACAGAGCCAGAAGACAGCCACCUGCUGGGAGGAGAGUCUCACCAGAAACUGAAUCUUCCAGCACCUUGAUGCAGGACCUCUAGCUUCUAAAACUGUGAUCUCACUUGACGGUUCCAGUAGAAUGUUCCACAGACAUCUCAGACUUCGCAGGCACGGGCCAGGAGGCCACCCUGGUGUCCCAAGCUACUUGAAGUUGGACUCUCAAGCACGAAAUUUACCUGAAGACUUGAAUAACUAUGUAAGUACUUUAAAUGAAAGACUGUUUUGCAUUAAAUUAACAUGGAAAUAUUUUGUGAGGAAGAAGACAAAGUUCUGCUGAUUUGUAUUAUAAAAUACAAAAUCCCUGAAAGCAUUUUUGAGUUUGUCGUUGCAGUUUUAGGGGACUGCU
rnacentral:lncRNA from 1 species